AUUUAAUUAAUAUAAUUAGUAUAAUUAAUUUCCAAUUAAUAAGUUUAAAUAAAUUUAAAUUAAAUA
rnacentral:tRNA from 1 species